AGGAUAGCAGUCCAUAAGAAGGCCUUAGUAUUCACCUUGUGCCUCCUGCUUCUAGGCGAAUAUUGGAGAUUUUACAUAUCCAACCAUGAGCCAAUGGACAGCUUGGCUUAAUUUUUGGUUAGAGAUUUCGCCUGUGAUUUCUGAACGCACUGGGCUUACGAUGUCAAUGUUUUGAAGAGUUAGAGGAGCCCAAACCCUGAGGAUUCUUAAUGUAUGUUGGACACCAUUCACUGUGCCAAUAUUAGAGAAUGACAACCACUUGAAGACCGUUAGUAAUAUCUUUUAUCUUAUUAUUUUACUGGUAAAAUUUGCUUCCCCU
rnacentral:lncRNA from 1 species